rnacentral:rRNA from 1 species
AGGACGAACGCUGGCGGCGUGCCUAACACAUGCAAGUCGAGCGAAGCUGCUCUUAAACUUCGGUUUUGGGGUAGACUUAGCGGCGAACGGGUGAGUAACCCGUGGGUAAUCUACCUGGAAGCCUGGGAUAACAGUUCGAAAGGGCUGCUAAUACCGGAUGAUACCAUUACUGUAAGGUGAUGGUCAAAGCGUUAUGUAGUGCUUUCAGAUGAGCCCGCGUCCCAUUAGCUAGUUGGUAGGGUAAGGGCCUACCAAGGCGACGAUGGGUAGCCGGUCUGAGAGGAUGGUCGGCCACACUGGGACUGAGACACGGCCCAGACUCCUACGGGAGGCAGCAGUGGGGAAUUUUGCGCAAUGGGGGCAACCCUGACGCAGCGACGCCGCGUGAGUGAAGAAUGCCUUCGGGUUGUAAAGCUCUGUCUAGGGGGAAGAUAGUGACGGUACCCCUGGAGGAAGCCCCGGCUAACUACGUGCCAGCAGCCGCGGU